GACGAACGCUGGCGGCGUGCCUAAUACAUGCAAGUAGAACGCUGAAGAGAGGAGCUUGCUCUUCUUGGAUGAGUUGCGAACGGGUGAGUAACGCGUAGGUAACCUGCCUUGUAGCGGGGGAUAACUAUUGGAAACGAUAGCUAAUACCGCAUAACAAUGGAUGACACAUGUCAUUUAUUUGAAAGGGGCAAUUGCUCCACUACAAGAUGGACCUGCGUUGUAUUAGCUAGUAGGUGAGGUAACGGCUCACCUAGGCGACGAUACAUAGCCGACCUGAGAGGGUGAUCGGCCACACUGGGACUGAGACACGGCCCAGACUCCUACGGGAGGCAGCAGUAGGGAAUCUUCGGCAAUGGGGGCAACCCUGACCGAGCAACGCCGCGUGAGUGAAGAAGGUUUUCGGAUCGUAAAGCUCUGUUGUAAGUCAAGAACGAGUGUGAGAGUGGAAAGUUCACACUGUGACGGUAGCUUACCAGAAAGGGACGGCUAACUACGUGCCAGCAGCCGCGGUAAUACGUAGGUCCCGAGCGUUGUCCGGAUUUAUUGGGCGUAAAGCGAGCGCAGGCGGUUUGAUAAGUCUGAAGUUAAAGGCUGUGGCUCAACCAUAGUUCGCUUUGGAAACUGUCAAACUUGAGUGCAGAAGGGGAGAGUGGAAUUCCAUGUGUAGCGGUGAAAUGCGUAGAUAUAUGGAGGAACACCGGUGGCGAAAGCGGCUCUCUGGUCUGUAACUGACGCUGAGGCUCGAAAGCGUGGGGAGCAAACAGG
rnacentral:rRNA from 1 species